UACGGGGGGAGCAAGCGUUGUUCGGAUUUACUGGGCGUAAAGCGCGUGUAGGCGGCUUGGCAAGUCGGAUGUGAAAGCCCACGGCUCAACCGUGGAAGCGCAUCCGAAACUGCUUCGCUCGAGUCUCGGAGAGGAAGGUGGAAUGCUUGGUGUAGAGGUGAAAUUCGUAGAUAUCAAGCAGAACACCUGCGGCGAAGGCGGCCUUCUGGACGAUGACUGACGCUGAGACGCGAAAGCGUGGGGAGCAAACAGG
rnacentral:rRNA from 1 species